rnacentral:rRNA from 1 species
UCCUACGGGAGGCAGCAGUGGGGAAUAUUGGGCAAUGGGCGCAAGCCUGACCCAGCAACGCCGCGUGAAGGAAAAAGGCUUUCGGGUUGUAAACUUCUUUUCUCAGGGACGAAGCAAGUGACGGUACCUGAGGAAUAAGCCACGGCUAACUACGUGCCAGCAGCCGCGGUAAUACGGAGGAUGCGAGCGUUAUCCGGAUUUAUUGGGUUUAAAGGGUGCGUAGGCGGAAUGCCAAGUCAGCGGUAAAAUCGCGGGGCUCAACCUCGCUCCGCCGUUGAAACUGGCGUUCUUGAGUGGGCGAGAAG